GGCUAAGCGCAGGGAGGCUGGAGUGGAGUGGAGUGGAGUGGAGUGGAGUGGAGUGGAGUGGAGUGGAGUGUCUGAUCACAGCGCCUGCCGCAGGUCCCCCGGGCACUGGGUCUGCAGCCAGCUGCUGCAGGGAAAAGCUCCUGUCUCGCCAGCCUUUCCAGCCCCAGCCAACGCUUCCCCUUGCGGUCUGCUUCCCCGGAGAUCUUCCCACUCCCUCGGGGGCUUGCCCCUUGAAACAGCAGAGCGUGUCCAUGCAACAAUGCAACCCGAACUGGACCGGCAAUUCUGAAAAAUUCGAGGCCAAAUCCUGCUUAUAUUACCCAUGUAAAUGAGGCUGCCCUUGGGACUGAGAUUUUGGAUAGGACCCGAUCUGCAAGAUGGCUUCUGAGCACGCCUUUCUCGGGGGAGAAAGGCGCUCCUCUGCCUGUCUUCCUCCCGGUUUGUGGAUCGCUCUGGCUCUUAGGCAGGAGAUAGGCAUCCAGACGCCUAGAGGGAAGCAGCAGUGUGCAUGCCCAGAAGCAGAAACGUAGGCACAGAGGGAAUGUUUACCCUGAAAACGUAGGCAUGAGCACCAGCAACGGGGCGAGGAGAGACACAACUAGCCACCGUCCGCCGAGAGCACAAAAUAUGCUGCAUGCUGCGACUGCGGAGUGCAGCCAACAAUUACACACACCCUGUGAAUGGUGCAAGCCAAUUAAUAGGAUGAUGAAUCAUGCAAAAUGCAUAGUUACCAUAAUGAUGAAUUGUCAUGUGGCCCUAAUGACCAAUCAGUUAAUUUUAUUUUGAAAGUUGAUUAAACCAACAAUGUGGCUUUGUGCAUUGUUUAAAUGGAGUGAUUCAAUAUCUGUCUUGGUUCUCCCUCCCACAAGUAGUAUUGCUGGAGAAAUGUAUGAAAUGGAGCUUCUGCUAUCUGUCUGAGGUUUUACUCUAGUACUCAUCACCCCAGGAUCGAAGCACUGAUCAAAUUUAGAUCAGGGUAGUGUUGUCCAUAGAAGAUUUUGCUCUUUGCCCCCUUCAGGUUUUAGGAAGUUCUGCUUGGUUUUUGUCCCUCUCACCCCACCCCCAUCAUCUUCUGUUAUAGUUGGAAGCAUUUGGUAAACAGGUGGGUCUUGCUUCAUGUUCUGAAGAUGGCUAGGGUUUGGCUUAGUCUUAUCUUCUUCAGAAGUUCAUUCCACAGUUCAGAACC